CCCAGAGUGAAAGACAGAGGAACCAAUCGAGGCUCGGCUGACCUCAGACGUCUAAGGCGAUAGGCGUUGCUAAGAAAAGGGGGUGGGACGAUACCCAGUUGCCAAGACGACGGCUUCCGGGUGGGCGGCUUGAGGUGGCUUCCGGCCGCCAGGCGAGACUCCGCGGGAAAACUCCCUGCUAGAGAGACUAGGAGAUUUGGGGCUGCGGCCGUUUCCUCCGGAGCACCCACGGGACUGUGUGCUGGGGUCCCUCCACCGGCUGUGUCCUUUAUUCUUCUUUCUCACCCAACGAUUUACCUGAACGGUUAUAAAGUGCACGUUAUUUCCCUAAGCACUUUGAGUAUAUUGGCCCACUGCAUUCUGGACUUCAAAAUUUCUGAUGCGAAAUAUGCUGAUACUUUUGUUGAAGAAAUCUGGUCCUUCUUACUGAUGUGUUGCUCUUCUUCAUGGCUCGUGAAAACUAUUAGAGUCAUCCAAGGUUUGGAGACAGAAAGGAGCACCGCCAAGUGAGGCAGAGCAGUCUCAGAAACAUAGGAAAAUGGUGGGAAGAGAGAUCAGCAACGUUAACUGGGUGUCAAGAAAACAUACCGAGAUUGAAGCCAUCCACUUCUGCAGGAACACCGAAAAGAAAGGUACAACGCUUGGGGAAAGACUGGAUUUCAUUAGGGACAGUGACAAUACCUGUUUGACAUAGAGGUUCCAGCGCUGGCCAGGGAACUCCCUGAGCACUAGUAAUGCCAGUGUCAGUUGUAGAAUUCUUUUAAAAUUUGAGUUAAUAGGGUCACUACUUUUUGAAUGCCUGCUGCAGAAACUAAGAAAAAUGGCUGGCUGAGCCAAUAGAAGAGGAUUUUGUAGCUCAACUCCUGGGGAAGAAAAUACUCCUUUUGACGGAGGGCAGGUGCUGUAGACCUUGCAAGGACAUAGCCAGUCUGCAAUGUCAUCUAGGCCCACCCGCUAAAGUUUUAAAAGUAAAGUAAAGUAUUU
rnacentral:lncRNA from 1 species